rnacentral:rRNA from 1 species
AGAUACCCGUGUAGUCCCAGCCGUAAACUAUGCUCGCUAGGUGUCAGGCAUGGCGCGACCGUGUCUGGUGCCGCAGGGAAGCCGUGAAGCGAGCCACCUGGGAAGUACGGCCGCAAGGCUGAAACUUAAAGGAAUUGGCGGGGAGCACAACAACGGGUGGAGCCUGCGGUUUAAUUGGACUCAACGCCGGGAAGCUCACCGGAUAAGACAGCGGAAUGAUUGCCGGGCUGAAGACUCUGCAUGACUAGCUG